rnacentral:rRNA from 1 species
UAGCGUAUACUAAAGUUGUUGCAGUUAAAAAGCUCGUAGUUGGAUUUCUGUUGAGAACAGGCGGUCCACCUUUUGGGUGAGUAUCUGCAUUGGUCUCGGCAUCUUCUUGAAAAACGUUCCUGCGCUUGAUUGCGUGGGGCGGAGUUCAGGACUUUUACUUUGAGGAAAUUAGAGUGUUCACGGCAGGCAUACGCCUUGAAUAUAUUAGCAUGGAAUAAUAAUAUAGGAUCUUGGUUCUAUUUUGUUGGUUUCUAGAGCUAAGAUAAUGAUUAAUAGGGACAAUUGGGGGCAUUCGUAUUAACGCGUC